rnacentral:tRNA from 1 species
GCCCUGGUGGCACAGUGGUUAAGAGCUAUGGCUGCUAACCAAAAGGUUGGCAGUUAGAAUCUGCUCCUUGGAA